GUACUCCCUUGGGGGAACAAACACUUAAAUUGAGGUGAUAGAGAGAAGAUUAGCAUGGCCCCUCUGCAGGCAUGACAUGUCAAUUUGUGAAGUGUUCUCUAUUUUU
ensembl:snRNA U6 U6 spliceosomal RNA